rnacentral:rRNA from 1 species
UACGGAGGGUGCAAGCGUUAUCCGGAUUCAUUGGGUUUAAAGGGUGCGUAGGUGGGUAGGUAAGUCAGUGGUGAAAUCCCCGAGCUUAACUUGGGAACUGCCGUUGAUACUAUCUAUCUUGAAUAUCGCGUAGGUAAGCGGAAUAUGUCAUGUAGCGGUGAAAUGCUUAGAUAUGACAUAGAACACCAAUUGCGAAGGCAGCUUACUUCAAGAUUAUUGACACUGAGGCACGAAAGCGUGGGGAUCAAACAGG